AUGCCCUGUGCCUCGCUCAGUUUUUUUUUGUUUGUUUGUUUUUGUUUUAAUCAAACUUUAAGUAAAAAAACUUUGAGCUGGAUGAAUCACAUGAAACUAAUUAUUUUUAAUUGUUUCUUUAUUCAAUGGGCUAUAAUAAUAUCGAACACCUUUGAGUACGAUCAUUUGAAAGUUGUUUUAUCAUCUGAAAAAAUCGAAUUGUAUCGUAAUUAGGUUAUUAUUUAGUA